rnacentral:rRNA from 1 species
UGCGUAGGCAGCAAGCAUUGUUCGGAGUUACUGGGCGUAAAGGGUGUGUAGGCGGUUCUUUAAGUUUGGUGUGAAAUCUCCCGGCUCAACUGGGAGGGUGCGCCGAAUACUGAGGGACUAGAGUACGGGAGAGGAAAGUGGAAUUCCUGGUGUAGCGGUGAAAUGCGUAGAUAUCAGGAGGAACACCGGUGGUGUAGACGGCUUUCUGGACCGUAACUGACGCUGAGACACGAAAGCGUGGGUAGCAAACAGG